rnacentral:rRNA from 1 species
GUGCCAGCCGCCGCGGUAAUACAGAGGUCUCAAGCGUUGUUCGGAUUCAUUGGGCGUAAAGGGUGCGUAGGUGGCGCUGUAAGUCGGGUGUGAAAUCCUGGGGCUUAACCCCGGAACUGCAUUCGAUACUGCAGUGCUUGAGGACUGGAGAGGAGACUGGAAUUCAUGGUGUAGCAGUGAAAUGCGUAGAGAUCAUGAGGAAGACCAGUGGCGAAGGCGGGUCUCUGGACAGUUCCUGACACUGAGGCACGAAGGCCAGGGGAGCAAACGGGAUUAGAUACCCUAGUAGUCC